rnacentral:rRNA from 1 species
GUGGGGAAUAUUGGGCAAUGGGCGAAAGCCUGACCCAGCAACGCCGCGUGAGUGAUGAAGGCCUUAGGGUUGUAAAGCUCUUUUGUCCGGGAAGAUAAUGACUGUACCGGAAGAAUAAGCCCCGGCUAACUUCGUGCCAGCAGCCGCGGUAAUACGAAGGGGGCUAGCGUUGUUCGGAAUCACUGUGCGUAAAGCGCACGUAGGCGGACCAUUAAGUCAGGGGUGAAAGCCUGGAGCUCAACUCCAGAACUGCCUUUGAUACUGAUGGUCUCGAGUAUGGAAGAGGUUGGUGGAACUGCGAGUGUAGAGGUGAAAUUCGUAGAUAUUCGCAAGAACACCGGUGGCGAAGGCGGCCAACUGGUCCAUUACUGACGCUGAGGUGCGAAAGCGUGGGGAGCAAACAGGAUUAGAAACCCGUGUAGUCC